rnacentral:rRNA from 1 species
AACGAACGUUAGCGGCGCGCUUAACACAUGCAAGUCGAACGAGAAAGCCCCUUCGGGGGUGAGUAAAGUGGCGCACGGGUGAGUAUCACGUGGGUCAUCUACCCUUUGGUGGGGGACAACAUUCCGAAAGGAGUGCUAAUACCGCAUAAGUCCACUUCGGUGGGGAAAGGCGGCUUCGGCUGUCGCCAGAGGAUGAGCCCGCGGCCCAUCAGCUUGUUGGUAGGGUAAUGGCCUACCAAGGCUACGACGGGUAGCUGGUCUGAGAGGAUGAUCAGCCACACUGGAACUGAGACACGGUCCAGACUCCUACGGGAGGCAGCAGUGGGGAAUAUUGCGCAAUGGGCGAAAGCCUGACGCAGCGACGCCGCGUGGGUGAUGAAGGUCUUCGGAUCGUAAAGCCCUGUCGGAGAGGGAAGAAAAGCCCGAGGGAAUAAUACCCCUAGGGUCUGACGG